CUAUACUUCGUACUUCAUAGUCAUAAUAUCUAUAUACUCAAAGAAUGGAUGCGAGAGCUGCAACCAUCUUGUUGCUUGUCCUACUUAUCUUUCAAGCAAAUCCAUCUUCUGCAGAGGAGUCCUGCAUUAUCACUGGUGCAAGGAUGUUAAUGUGUAUGCAACCGACAUGCUUCUGCGGGUGUGAGCUCGACGCAGCAGUGCAUCAUGCACAGCUCAAAGAUACCUGGUGUGAAGGAUUUUUUAGAGGCUUUUGCCGAUGUAAACUUUGCAAUAACAGUUGAGUAAUCGAUCGAUCUCUGCAUAUGUUGGCCUCUUAUCGUAAGGGGAAUAAAUCUUUAUAUAUAUAAUAUUUCAAGCAUGUUUAUGGAA